rnacentral:misc_RNA from 1 species
UUGUCCUUGCUUAUCUACGUUUAACAUGAUCUCACGGAUACUCUCCUUCACUAGAGAUGCAGAAUGUCCUGUCAUUUCAUGGAAUUUCUUAGCCAUUGCAUGAAUAGGAUCAGACACUAUUCUGCUGAUGAUAGUCUCAACAAAAUCUGCCCCGCCUAUCAAAAGCUGUUCUUGUUCCUUCUGGCUAUUACUCCUAUAUAGGCUACCACC